UUGAGAUUCCCAAUGUAUUAAGCUUGACCAAUUAGCAUAUCUGAAUCAUGUAUGCCCUUUCAGCUCCCAACAAACUCUCGGGAAUGUAUCAAUACAUGUAGGCUAACACAGUUUGCAACAAGUUUUACUUGAUGACUGUGUAUUAUGGGCAAAACACUCCCAUGUAUCAGCCACAACAUUUAGCUCUGUAAGGAAUAAGAGUAUAUGCAUUGGACUAUAUGGCACCAAAUAUGUUUGCAAAAUGCACCCCUAUACUACAGAUCAUAGUAGAAUGAAUCUGUCCUUCCAGGAAAGAGUUGCUGGACAACUCAGAAGAAUCAUUGGGAAUUUGACCAGUCAAUGCAACGAGCCAGGCAGUACAGCAACUAUAGUGCAACUGCCAGCUUUAUUCCUUCAGUGACCAGACACCUGAGUUAGUAGGACACAUAUUAGCCCUUCGUACCCUCUAGAAGCUUAAGAGACAGUAUUAAGAUGUGAACAUGACAGCAGAACCUCAAAAUGUAAGCAUGUGGGUACUUGCAUUUUGACCCAAAUCUCUACACUCACAAAAGUAAAUCCAACCAACAUAGUAAAACAUCAUACUGGAACAUAUAAAGUUUCCAGGGAGCUCAAUGUUACUGAUCAUUUCAAUCCUUAGAUUAUAAGCAGGUACUCCCUCCAAUGCAAUAUGCCACAAUUUGCCCACCAGCGAUGAUAAUGCACGUCAUGUAAGAGCUCAAGAGAUCUAGCAUACUAGUGUGAAACUUAAUAAUAGCAGAAACGCAUCUUGUUUUGUAAGAUAAUUUGGUAAUGACGAACUAAUGACAUCGGACAUGCACGAGCUGGUUAAUAAAAAUCCUAUUAGCCUGAUAACGAUCUGAUUAGCCAGCCAGUCACAGCAUAUACAUGCACUAAAAGUUCUCUUUGUCUCAGGAAUAUUCAAUUCACAAGAUCCACUGCCAGUAGUACAAUAAUGCUGGAUCGUUAGGUGCUGCUGCUCUGAGCGUAACUACCAUCAUACAGCUUGCCUAGAAUACCAAUUGCAGGGUAAGCUACUCCCAAAUGACCAUUUUACACGUAAGUACGAUGAGAAAACAAUAUAAAACAUCAAAUCUCCAAUUAGAACCAGCUAGUCGGUGAUGAUCCGUGCGUAUCUUGAUGGCAGCAUGUCUCACGGGGCACAUGUAGCUCGAUCCAAUUAGUAGAAAACGCCUACAGGUUAUCACGUGGACAUGGUAUUGUUUAUGAAGAAACCCCUUGGCCCCAGCCCUCCACCCAAGGUCACACACUCCAGUGAGAUCAAUCUCUUGUUUAAGUCUACACUUGACCAAUUAAGAAAAUAGAGAGUACUGCUUAUGUACUAUACAAUAGGCCAAGUAGGCCUGCCUGCUAAACAGAUGCUAGGAAUCACAUGCAUUAUCUUAUCGUAUUGCGUUACGUUAACAGACCCUCACAUGCCUUACAUACUUUAGAUCUGUCACCUUGUUCGUGCGUAAACUUUGAAAAGUGAUAUGUGAAUCAUGAGGUCCAGGUAAAUUUUGUAAAGAAGAUCAGCAUGGACAAUGAUGAAGCCUCAUGGUCUGAUACUGAAAAGAUCCUCAAAAGGCAGUCCUGCUCAGUUAGGAUAAGAAUAUGUAAGAUGCAAAUAUUGGCCACGAAAAUCGGUCUUUCCUCAUCAACAUUGGCAUGAUUUGGGCAUCAGUUGGAUAAUCUUUUGACCACCGACCACCACACAACAUUGAUGGAGUCGUACUGGUCAGCAAAACUUUACAUAUAUCACAGUUAGUUUACGUUAUCAUCACACCUUGUUGCCACAACAAGCAAAGGACUCUUUACUAGACAAAAGAACAAGUGAAUUCCAGAAAAGAGUGACAAUGUAGUGACAUCCUGAAUGAAGAUAAAUCAUACCGAGGAAUGUGCCUAGAGGUAUAGACAGGCAAAACAAACAAUAAAUUACCAAGGUUGAUUUUGUAAGGCGAGAUGCUUCCACUCACUAUAUGACUAACAGGGUUUUUAAUGAAAUGACAGGUACUACUCUGACACAAGAGAGGGAAUCAUAUGAUCUGGAGAUACUGACGGUCAGCUGUCUUCAGUUCAACACUCCUCCAAGAUGACUGGCUAUUUCUAGGAAAUCUAAGACCUACUUGCUAAUAAAUAUUAAAACUAAGGUUCUGACAGCGCUCUCAGUGCCCAACAACCGAAAAGAUACAAUACAACUAGUUUUCAGUUAACAAGGAAAAGAAUCCAGAUCUUGCUGCAGAACCUCAACAUGCUCAUCAUUGAAAGCUAGAUUAUACUAGGGCGGGCGGUUGGUAAACAGGAAAUUAAAACAAAUAUUCUAAGGCUAAAGCUACAAUCAGUGCACAUCUACUAGUUCAGGCACCAUCGGCUAAAUUUACCCUAGUAUUGAGUUUCAGGUGACAGACAUUCAGAACUGGACAAAAAUGAAAACAGAGUAGCAUUGAAAUCCCCCUAAAGGCACGUAAGAACGCACCGACAUGUACUACGAAGUUGAAAAAUCAUGUGCUAGUAGGGCUGCAGAACACGAAAUACAGUGUGCAGGUUACCCAGCAAAGUGAUUAUGCCGGUCUGGGGAGACAUUUUCAGGAAUACCGUUCACAAAAAGGAAGUGUGCAAGUGCACACGUCGACGCCGAAAGCUUCAACUCCCUUGGUUCUAUCUUCCAUGCAUAUCAAAGCCAC
rnacentral:lncRNA from 1 species